rnacentral:lncRNA from 1 species
CUAUGCAUAAUCUUACUAAUGCAGUUGUCAAAAUCAGUGAAAUGAAGGUUUUUAUAUUGACAACCUCUUCUUUCUUCCAGGGAUUGACUGAACAUUGGAAAAACCUGAUAACCAAAUUAACUAAUCCCUAUAAUGCUAUUACCCUGGCCCUACUGUUUAUAACGGUGAUAAUUUUUUCUUGUGUUUUGAGACACUAUAUGUAACCACGUAAAUGCCACUGAACGAAAAACAUCAAUGCUGGCUGAAGUCCUUGCAGCAGAGUCAGAGGGGGCAGUGGUAGGAACAAGUGCAUGGAGUACUGCAUACAUAUCAUACAUUAAGAGCAUCUGAGUGGCAGGCCACUCCCCUGAUGCUAAGCAGGUGAGCAGCAGGCCUUUUACCCCAUAGGCACAGCUCUGGGCAUGAGGCCCUGUGUUGCAGUCCUUGCACUUGCUCCAUGGCCCACUCCUCAAUUGGUCACUACAAGGACAGUUGGCCAGAAAUUGCAUUAGUGGCUGCCUGUGAUCUGCUUAGCUACUGUCUGAGUAUGUAUAUAUGGUGACUGCACAAUAAAAUCAGACCUGCUUCCUGCUUGGUCUCCGGAGGUCUCGAUUAGCUACUCCGCAGCCACACUCUCCUCUACCAUGUUCCAUGGACCUCCUUGCUGAGAGAGAGCCCAUGCAGUCAUCUAUGGAUUGAGACCUCUGAAACCAUGAACACCAAAGGAACUUUUUCUCCUCUAAGUUGUUUUUUGUCAGGUGUUUUGGUCACAGCAAUAAAAAAGCUGACUAAAAGAA